UGUGUACAGAUGCUGCUGAGUCGGGCUGUGGUAAAGGCUACUGUGAAUGAAGCGCUGUGACUCUUUAAACUUUUAAAGCUCCGGUUGCUCCGAUCAGGUCCACUGAUCUGAUCAGACCCGAUCGAUCAAGGGCGUCUGAUGAGCGCAACGACAUGCAGCGACAGCGCUUUUAUUUUGAAGAGAGAGAGCAAUCA